rnacentral:lncRNA from 10 species
AAGUUGUUUUCUAAUGCUCACGCGCUAUGGCCGAAGUCUGCAAUGGAUGGGAGAAAGGGGAGGACCAAAUUAGCUCAGAUUCUUUACAGUUCACAGCAUCAGCUGUUUUAUUUAUUUGUUUUAGAUAGCGAAGCCAAAAAAAGUUGGAUGGGGGCAAAAAUGCCAACUAAAAUAGCUCAUAGUUCUGAAGUAGAGAGAAGUCAGAAUUUCCCGUUUUCUCUUGUUUCUCUCAGGGAUGGUCUAUAUGACUGGCGCUCCUUGGAAGCAGUGCUGAGGGCAUUAUCAAGAGUUUCCAGGGCCUCCUCUUUCUCCUGAAACCUUCUUCAAGGAGGGUAAAGUUUUAAGAGAGUUCAAAAGUACCACAGACUUCCAGGGAAUAGUAGUUUUUGUCGUGACAAGCAUGGACAUUUUCUUGCGUCAUGUACUAUUUCAGAAGGUAGAGACCACAAAAAGGCUUCUUACUGUGGCCACCGUGGACAUCUUCCCACAUCUACAAGGUGUUGUGGCCACAUCAUUGCUGCACCCAGUUUCCUCAGAAGAAAUACCUGUUGCUUAGGUUUAGAAACGAGGCAUGUAUACGUAUUUAACAGUUCUCAGAAUGUCAAGGAUCCCUCCUCAGAGCAAGAGCUCGAAUUUACAAAAGAAGCACUACCUCCUUUAUCACAUAGUAAAAUAAAGGACCGUGUCUGCUCCAGGACAUGGCUGGUUACAAUUUUGUUUUAAAGAAAUCACCAGAGAAACCUGAGAUUCCAACCCAGCCUUUUGUUUGCCUGGGAUUAUAGCCCAGUUCUUACAAGCAGAGAAGCCUAGGACACUAACCCAGCUUCAAGAGUAUACUCAGAAUCUCAAGAAUCACAAUCUGUGCUGCCCAUUCUUCAACAGACUGUCAUCUGGAGGCCUGGAUUGGAUCAGGAGUCGGGCUCACCAAUGGAGCCCCAAUCAGUCAGUCAGGAGUGAAGAUGAAAGCUUCAAAGCCAGCACAAGAGCACACAGGAGGCCGGCAUAAUCACGAAUUGCAGCUGUCUGAAGGGCAGUCACAUAAAAGAGGAGAAGCUUCACCUUUGCUUCACAAGGCACAUCUUGAACCAGGGAUGGAAAUUACAGAGAGGCCAAAACCAGCUCGGUGUGAGCAGGACUGGUAACAGACUGGCCAAGCAACAGAAGGGGCUGCCCUGUGAAGAAGCAAGCUCUCUGUCAAUGGGAGGUGCAAGCUGAGCCUGCACUACCUUUUGUCACGGUUGCUAUGGAAAAGAUUAAGAGCCCGGGCCUGGCUGUUCCCACCUCAAACCACUUCUUAGCUUCAUUUGUUCUCAUAACAACAGGAUAGCCCUUCCUCCUCUGGGGGCCUGGGCAUCAGCAAGUCGGAUGGCAGUGGAAGGUGGAGAAAUGGAAUCCUGCUGGGGGCUCAGGAGGCCUGCCCCCUGAUGCUGCCGUGCACUGCAGAUGUCCUUGAUGAAGAGAAUGAAUGGAAGGUAUUGGAAGGGAGCUGAAGUUCAACAAAUGACCACCUAAUGAAAAAGUCAGCAGUGGAUUGCUUGAGAUCUUGAGCACCCUGUACUGUUAUUAGUAUUUAUAAACAUGUUUGAAAGAUGUUCCCUUCCUUCACUGUAGUGCCAGAAAGCCUUUAACAUAUUGGGUCCGGUCUAGAUUUGUAAGGAAGUAUGGCUGAAUUGUUAUCGGGUGGAUACAGUUUACAUGUUUAAAGCUGUCUUUCUCAAUGGCAAAAGGGCAUACUGCUGUUAUUGUCAGUGAGGGGUCAGUAGUUUAAAUGAUGAAACUCUGGGGAUCAGCGUAAAGUAAACCAACAUACUGCAUGUAAGUAUCAAGUAAAUGAGCAGAGACAGCCCCUGGUUUACAAACACCUGACUUAAGCAUCGUCCAUCCUACAGGUAAAUUCCUCAUUCUUACUGCUGUGAGAACAAUUGUUAGGAGCCAAAAACUUCAGAGCUUUCAAAGAACUGUAAUGAGAUAGCACAAUGCAGGCAAAAAGCCAGUGUUAACGGAGCAAGAAACUUCCCAGUUCUGACAUUCACAGCAUGACCUAGAGCAUGCGGAUUCCCCUCUCUGAGUCACUGGUUUCUCACCUGCAAAAGAAAGCGGGGACAGGGAAGGAGGAAGAAGCUUCGAGAGGCUGGAACAGUUGAGGGAGCGCUGACACGGUAAAGGCCACUUUGCUCAUCAUCACCAGGCGUGCUGCCGAAAAUUUCCACUCUGUUUACUCCCAAGACCUUACUCCUACUAUGUGGAGACACAUUUGAAUAAAAAAUUGGCCUCUUUUCAAAGUCAAAAUUCUGA